rnacentral:ncRNA from 2 species
UAGAUCUCUGCGGGAGAGAUCGGGCCGCCCCGGCAGGCCCGACGCCGAAGGAGCAACCGCCUCCGGAAACUCUCAGGCAAACAGGACCGCAGAAGGACG